CCUACGGGUGGCAGCAGUAGGGAAUCUUCCACAAUGGACGAAAGUCUGAUGGAGCAACGCCGCGUGAGUGAAGAAGGGUUUCGGCUCGUAAAGCUCUGUUGGUAGUGAAGAAAGAUAGAGGUAGUAACUGGCCUUCACUUGACGGUAAUUACUUAGAAAGUCACGGCUAACUACGUGCCAGCAGCCGCGGUAAUACGUAGGUGGCAAGCGUUGUCCGGGUUUAUUGGGCGUAAAGCGAGUGCAGGCGGUUCAAUAAGUCUGAUGUGAAAGCCCGCGGCUCAACCGGGGAAUUGCAUUAGAAACUGGUGAACUUGAGUGUAGAAGAGGAGAGUGGAACUCCAUGUGUAGCGGUGAAAUGCGUAGAUAUAUGGAGGAACACCAGUGGCGAAGGCGGCUCUCUGGUCUGCAACUGACGCUGAGGCUCGAAAGCAUGGGUAGCAAACAGGAUUAGAUACCCGAGUAGUC
rnacentral:rRNA from 1 species